ACCCGUAGGUGCUAAGGCUAGUUCUCCGCCCGCGGCUGCCCCAAGUAAGCCCAAAAGCACUCCUGCUCCAGCUACAGCACCAGUCUCGGCUCCACCUACAGCUGUUCCGGUUACGCCAGUAAGCGCUCCAGUUGCUGCUCCCACUACACCUGUUGUUGCUGCACCUGUAUCCCCACCAGCAAAAGCACCAGCAAGUUCCCCACCAGCAAAAGCACCAGCAAGUUCUCCACCAGUAGCUGCUCCAGUAAGCUCACCACCACCACCAGUGGCUGCACCAGUACAAUCUCCACCAGCUCCAGCUCCAGAGGUAGCUACACCACCAGCUGUUUCUACUCCACCUGCUCCAGUUCCAGUUGCAGCACCUGUUGUUUCGGAGACAACUCCAGCUCCGGCUCCUAGCAAGGGAAAGGGCAAG
rnacentral:lncRNA from 1 species